ACAGUAGCCGUGUGCAACGUUCAUCGUCUCUUUCGUCUGCCAAUUCGUUUGUCGUCUCUUCCGUCUGCCUGUUGCGUUCAUCCUCUCUUCUGUCUGUCGCCGUUGUGCCGUCUUUUCCGUCUGGCCAUUCCUUCGUCGUCCCUUUCGUUUGCACGUUGUGUUCGUCGUCCCUCGCAAGCCACCGUUCGUCGCAAGCCGCCACUCAAGAAAAGUUGCGUUUGUUCGCCGCCAUUCACAAGCCGCCGCCGUCGUUUCUGCCCUUUUCAGUCCAGUCUGCCGCCAUUAACAGAAGAAGGCGUAGAAGUAGGAGGGUUCAUAUCAGAAUUGGAGUGAGGAAUCUACUAAACUAAUACCACGGCCGAUGUGGUGGUUCGAGGAUACAAUGGCUACAAUACAAGAUAGGCGCCUAAGGUCAUUGAACGAGUCUUCCCACCAUCAGAAGAACGGGUGCUGCCAGAGAAGGAGCUGCCUCACCACUUGCUGUGACAGUAUUCUUUGGAUCCCUUUUAAUAACAUCUCAAGAUAAAAUCGUAUACAAUUUGUUUCACUUCUAUAGUCUUUUAUUUUUAUUCUUAUGGGACUUUUGGGCUUUGUUCUUGUUGUUGUUAUUUACUUCCAUUUAUGUCAUGAAGUUCUUGUC